rnacentral:rRNA from 1 species
GAUGAACGCUGGCGGCGUGCCUAAUACAUGCAAGUCGAGCGAACGGACGAGAAGCUUGCUUCUCUGAUGUUAGCGGCGGACGGGUGAGUAACACGUGGAUAACCUACCUAUAAGACUGGGAUAACUUCGGGAAACCGGAGCUAGUACCGGAUAAUAUUUUGAACCGCAUGGUUCAAAAGUGAAAGACGGUCUUGCUGUCACUUAUAGAUGGAUCCGCGCUGCAUUAGCUAGUUGGUAAGGUAACGGCUUACCAAGGCAACGAUGCAUAGCCGACCUGAGAGGGUGAUCGGCCACACUGGAACUGAGACACGGUCCAGACUCCUACGGGAGGCAGCAGUAGGGAAUCUUCCGCAAUGGGCGAAAGCCUGACGGGGCAACGCCGCGUGAGUGAUGAAGGUCUUCGGAUCGUAAAACUCUGUUAUUAGGGAAGAACAUAUGUGUAAGUAACUGUGCACAUCUUGACGGUACCUAAUCAGAAAGCCACGGCUAACUACGUG